rnacentral:snoRNA from 1 species
CGGCUAUGAUGAGAAAGUAUUAUCAGUCAUGCACCACUCUGAUGCUUUCUAUGUGCUGAUAACAACUCUACCCAUGUUUCUCUGAGCCA